rnacentral:rRNA from 1 species
GAUGAACGCUGGCGGCGUGCCUAAUACAUGCAAGUCGAGCGAACAGACGAGGAGCUUGCUCCUCUGACGUUAGCGGCGGACGGGUGAGUAACACGUGUAUAACCUACCUAUAAGACUGGGAUAACUUCGGGAAACCGGAGCUAAUACCGGAUAAUAUAUUGAACCGCAUGGUUCAAUAGUGAAAGACGGUUUUGCUGUCACUUAUAGAUGGAUCCGCGCCGCAUUAGCUAGUUGGUAAGGUAACGGCUUACCAAGGCAACGAUGCGUAGCCGACCUGAGAGGGUGAUCGGCCACACUGGAACUGAGACACGGUCCAGACUCCUACGGGAGGCAGCAGUAGGGAAUAUUCCGCAAUGGGCGAAAGCCUGACGGAGCAAAGCCGCGUGAGUGAUGAAGGUCUUCGGAUCGUAAAACUCUGUUAUUAGGGAAGAAAAAAUGUGUAAGUAAAUAUGCACGUAUUGACGGUACCUAAUCAGAAAGCCACGGCUAACUACGUG